rnacentral:rRNA from 1 species
UACGUGAGGGGCGAACGUUGUUCGGUGUCACUGGGCUUAAAGGGCGCGUAGGUGGCUGCGUAAGUAACGUGUGAAAUCCCUCGGCUUACCCGGGGAAUUGCGCGUUAUACUGCGUGGCUUGAGGAUCUCAGGGGAAGGGGGAACUCCAGGUGUAGCGGUGAAAUGCGCAGAUAUCUGGGGGAAGGCCGGCGGCGAAGGCGCCCUUCUGGGAGAUUCCUGACACUGAGGCGCGAAAGCGUGGGGAGCAAACAGG